CCCUUCUGGAGUUUGGCAGAGGGGGGUGGAAUUCCACGUGUAGCAGUGAAAUGCGUAAAGAUGUGGAGGAACACCGAUGGCGAAGGCAGCCCCCUGGGCCAAUACUGACGCUCAUGCACGAAAGCGUGGGGAGCAAACAGGAUUAGAUACCCUGGUAGUCCACGCCCUAAACGAUGUCAACUAGGUGUUGGGAGGGUUAAACCUUUUAGUGCCGUAGCUAAC
rnacentral:rRNA from 1 species